AUCCGUUAUCCGGCAAACCCAUGGUCCCAAGCAUUCUGGAGAACAGGUCCCAUACCUGUAGUACAAAAAAUAUUGGCUCAUUUUAAAUGUGAUGCCUGCGAAACAUGUAAAAAAAAAUAAGGGUGAGGGGCAGGUUUCCCACUGUGUUGCAUCAGCUUUUCUUCUAACAACAUCUGUGACUGGGACCAGAGGAGACCAAUUGCUGGAGUUUUGUACAAAGGAUUUCAGCUCCCCAACAGUUUGGGGACACCUUUGUUUUUCCUUUCAUAAUGUGAAAAAAUGUUUGGGCAACAGGACUGGGCCACUUUAUCACCUGGACUCACUUACUAGAAAGCAAUGCUGGUAUAAUACAUGCAGAAUGCUGCACUUUUGAAAAUAAACAAGGCCUUCCCUGUAAAAAGGGGGUUGUCUGGAUGGCAACAUAUUUUGUUCCAAAAUCAGUAUAUGUGGUUCUGUAUAUGCCAUGUGCACUUAUGCACCCCCAUACCACCACAGACGUGCAAGCACCCCAUGCCAUAUGCCCUAAUGCACCCCCUAUACCAGCACAGAUGCAGCUGGCUUUUGAACUGUGCACUAACAAGACACAUGAUCCUUUUCCUUUCUAGUGCGACGUCCAUGAUUACAAAAAGAAAUUCACAUUUCGAUUGGUCAGAGUACAGGAUAGUUUCCCACUUGGCUUCACUCUGUGCAUCAGGUAAAUACAAUGAAAAAUGACAAACAAAAAUCCUUAUCAGGAUAAUUAAGUGUCCAAACUUUUUUUCGUAAAUGGCUUGUAGACUGAAUUUGUGCAUUACCUGUUCCUCAUACCUACCGCUUGUACAGACACACACGGCCUUAUCCCGUUGCAGUGAUUCACAGUCAACUGCUCCUCCACACACACCCCGAUGCCGACACUCUUAUCCGUCUGACCGACAGUCUCAACCCUGCUCAUCAAAUGCUCCUUUCAAGUUACAGUACCCAUGGUUAUGUAACGUACCCACAAGGGGCCCUGUAUUUAUUAUAGACCAGGCCCAACCUCUGGACGGACAUCUAGAUAAAUGUGCUGCUCAUGCAAGCUAUCACUAGAUCACCUAAGUUGUUUCUCAGAGAUGAUUAAAGAAAGUCAUUCACAAUAUUGUGCUCAGGCUGGAAGAGUGUAUUCUGUCAGUAAUCUCUCCAAAAGGAAAGCUACUGAAGCAUUGUAUUUCCAAUAUAUAAGCCACAAUAGUGCAAGCUAUAAAACUAUUUAUUCUGCAGAAUGCUUUACCAUACCUGGAAGGAUAUGCCUAAAUCUAUGAUCCUUCCCUUACAUAGUUAAUUCUUACAAAUCCCCUUCUACUUGAUUUACCCUUUCUCAGAAUCCCUUUUUAGCAUACUAGUUUAAUUAUUACAUAGUUAUUGGCUUGUAACGGCUAAAGCAAGGUUAAAUGAUACUUCAGGCUUCAUGGCUACGUGCAGCACAUGACAUGUCUCCAUGAGAGCAGACAUAUGUCAACCCGAAUAUAUCACACUUAUGUUAUUUCUGUAAGUCUGACAUCCUGUUAUCUCUCUUGCAUACUCUUGUACAAGGACGUGCUAAAGUAUAUAAGCCUGUUUCACUGUACAAUAAAGCGAACAAGUAUUAGCAUCACGUCUCGUGUGUAUUCUUGUGCUUGUUCCCCGGAGAUCUCUGGAUCCUGAGUGGGGUACUCCAAGGGUGUGGCAGUUCUGAGUUAGCCAGGAACCCCAACAAUACCCGAGUAAACCGCUCUAGAAAUUCCCUGU